UGGGAUAUAGCUCAUUGGUAAAGCACUUGCUUAGCACCCAAGAGGUCUUGGGUUAGGUUCCCAGAAUUGCAA
rnacentral:tRNA from 1 species